CCUGACUCCUCUUCGAAGCUCUCUCUGCCCGUGGCUCUGGUUCUCCGGCACAUUGCUUAGUUCUCCUUUUCCUCCGCCCCCUCAGCAUCCCCGAGUUCACUGUGCUGUGACCCAGCUAUCCACUGAGCUGUCCCCGUGCUGGUUUCCUGCGUUUCUCAACCUUGACCCACCCUGUUUCCAGUCAACGUUUCCAUUGCUUCUGUCAUGAGCACAACUUGACCCACUAUGGCGUUUCUGUAAUAACAAAAUAUUGAUAGCCCAGUGGAAUAUGCAUAGGUGGCUGGUUAAAGAAAGGAUGUUUUAUCUGAACGAUGGAAUAUUGUUGUGGGUUGGCCAAGAAGUCUGCUCAGUUUUUUCCAUAAAAUAAAAGACACAUUUUUCAAUUUCACCAAUAACUUUAUUGGUUCAGAUAUUUUGAGUAUGUUGGCUAUCUCCCGCUAUUGGCUUCUGGCAGGGAGAGGCCAAGG